rfam:Emiliania huxleyi CCMP1516 EMIHTscaffold_447_Cont7749, whole genome shotgun sequence.
UUUCCCUCAGGAUAGCUUGAACGCAACGGUUUUGUCAGGUAAAGCGAAUGAUUAGAGGCCUGUGGGCUGAAACAGCUUGCACCUAUUCUCAAACUUUAAAUGGGCAAGAGGCCCGGGAUGCUUGAGUGAUCCCGGGCGGCGAACGGCGCGUUCAAAGUGGGCCAUUUUUGGUAAGUCGAGCUCCCAGGCGAGCGCGAACGC